rnacentral:rRNA from 1 species
GACGAACCGUGCAAACGUUGUUCGGAAUCACUGGGCUUAAAGGGCGCGUAGGCGGCAUCUCCAGUCCGGGGUGAAAUCUUUCGGCUCAACCGGAAAAGGGCCUUGGAUACUGAGAUGCUCGAGGGAGGUAGGGGCAGGUGGAACUUCCGGUGGAGCGGUGAAAUGCGUUGAUAUCGGAAGGAACGCCGGUGGCGAAAGCGGCCUGCUGGACCUCUACUGACGCUGAGGCGCGAAAGCCAGGGGAGCAAAC